GCCACCGUAGCUCAGUUGGUAGAGCAACUGAUUCGUAAUCAGUAGGUCAGCAGUUCGAAUCUGCUCGGUGGCU
rnacentral:tRNA from 1 species